rnacentral:ncRNA from 1 species
GUGUUGUAUGAAAGGAGAGAAGGUUAGCACUCCCCUUGAGAAGGCUGGAAGAGGUCCCAGUGGCCUUUACAACACACAUAUGGUUAAGGCAUUGCCACCUACUUCGUGCCAUCUAACCUAGUUUU